CUCCCUGUGUCUCUGGGACCUGCUGGCUGUGGCAGUCUCCUUCCUAGCCAGGGAAGAGCAUUUUCUUGUUUGUUGGCAAAGCUGUCACCAUGUCAUUGGUAUCAGAUUCUGACUUGGACAAGUAACAUUC